GUCUACAGCCAUGCCACCCUGAAUACACCUGAUCUCGUCUGAUCUCGGAAGCUAAGCAGGGUCGGGCCUAGUUAGUACUUGCAUGGGAGACCGCCUAGGAAUAACACGUGCUGUAGGCU
rnacentral:rRNA from 1 species